GAUGAACGCUGGCGGCGUGCCUAAUACAUGCAAGUCGAGCGAACAGACGAGGAGCUUGCUCCUCUGACGUUAGCGGCGGACGGGUGAGUAACACGUGGAUAACCUACCUAUAAGACUGGGAUAACUUCGGGAAACCGGAGCUAAUACCGGAUAAUAUAUUGAACCGCAUGGUUCAAUAGUGAAAGACGGUUUUGCUGUCACUUAUAGAUGGAUCCGCGCCGCAUUAGCUAGUUGGUAAGGUAACGGCUUACCAAGGCAACGAUGCGUAGCCGACCUGAGAGUGUGAUCGGCCACACUGGAACUGAGACACGGUCCAGACUCCUACGGGAGGCAGCAGUAGGGAAUCUUCCGCAAUGGGCGAAAGCCUGACGGAGCAACGCCGCGUGAGUGGUGAAGGUCUUCGGAUCGUAAAACUCUGUUAUUAGGGAAGAACAAAUGUGUAAGUAACUAUGCACGUCUUGACGGUACCUAAUCAGAAAGCCACGGCUAACUACGUG
rnacentral:rRNA from 1 species